ACAUGCUUGGUUUGGGUCGGUGCGGUCAGCGGGAUAUGACCCCGCCCCGAGCGCAAACAUUCUUUUGUCUGUGUGUGGUGUCACCACAAGGGGAACGAGAAGCAUGGAAAAACCUAGCGUGAGCGAAAUGCUUCAAACGAUACGCGGUUCACGCGCGCACGCACGCACAGCCAGCGAACACGUAACGCAGCUGGCAUCCACCAGAUGUCGCCAUCGUUCAAGUUUUACCCCCAUCUCCCUCGUAAGGCGCAUGCGUGGUUCGCUCACGUCCACAUUUCCCCAAGUAAGCCUUGAGUGGACGAGGCACUUCCGCUCGUUGUAUUUUGAAAGGGCGCCGAGCGGACGCGUCGCGGAUGUUUUCUUUUGGCCGUUGAGUUUGAUGCCGCUCGCUCGCACAGCAUCGACGCGGCAGGAAGCGGAGCUACGAGCAGAGCCACGAGCGGACCGCUAGCGACGGCCAGCAGCGGCAGCAGCAGCAGCAGCAGCAGCAGCAGCAUGGCGACGCCAGGAGCGGAGCCCCUGCUCGGCCAGCCGGUGGCAUCGCCGCCGCCGCCGCCCGGCCACAUCGGCGCCAACGGCGGGGCCGCGCCGCCUAACAGCCGCGGCUUGGAGCGAGCGCUGGAGGAGGCGACGCUCAGCGGCGCGCUCAACCUCAGUGCCAGGAAACUCAAGGAGUUCCCGCGGACGGCGGCCGGAGUCGACCUGAGCGAUACGGUGGAAGCAGAUUUGUCCAAGAACCGUCUGUCGGACGUGCCCUCGGAAGUGUGCCACCUGGUGGCCUUGGAGAGCCUCAACUUGUACCACAACUGCAUCAGAAGCAUCCCGGACGCCGUCAUCAGCCUGCACUCGCUCACCUGGCUCAACCUCAGUCGCAACCAGCUGAGCUCGUUACCGGCCUGCUUGUGCACUCUGCCGCUCCGAGUCCUCAACGCCAGCAACAAUAAACUGGUCAGCCUGCCCGAGAGCGUCGGACAACUGCGUCGCCUCAUGGAGCUGGACAUUAGUUGUAACGAGCUCACGACCCUACCGCCACACAUCGGACGUCUUCGGGCCUUACGGGAGCUCAACGUACGACGGAAUCUGCUCUGCGUCCUUCCGGAAGACCUGGCCGACCUUCCUCUGGUCAAGUUGGACUUCUCGUGCAACAAGGUGUCGAGCAUUCCGCUGAGCUACCGCAAAAUGGCGCGGCUGCAGGCCCUGCGCCUGGAGAACAACCCGCUGCAGAGCCCGCCGGCACAGAUCUGUCUCAAGGGCAAAGUUCACAUCUUCAAGUAUCUCAGCACGGAAGCGUGUCGCAGCGACAAGAUGGCCGACGCGCUCGACCUGCCCGUCGUGGAGCGCCUCAGCCUGAUGCGCGGCGAGGACUCGGAGCAGCAGAGGAAGCAAGACAGCGACUCGGGAGUGGACAGCGACGUCGGAGACAAGAGGCCGCUGUCGGCGACCGAGCCGUCGGACGAAGACACGCUGAGUCUCAACGUGCCCAUGAGCCACAUCACCGAGGAGGACGGACUCUGCAAGGACGACUCCAGCGAACACGUCAGCUCCCUGACGGGUACACGGGCAAUUCGGUCCAGCCCGAUGGCUUGCUUUUUUGCCCCUUUCUUUUGCACACAAGCCAACAAAGCGCACGGAAAUGGAACGUCUCGUGUCCGUGCAGAUCCCAGCUCGGAGGCGGCGCGUCUAACCGAGGAGAGCCCCAGCGAGGGCCAGACGGCGGCGACGGCGCCAGACUCGGACGAGCCGCUGCGGAUCGACGAAGACUUUCACUGGACGUCAGAGCACGAGUCAAAGGUGACGGGGGACGACUCGGAGGUGAUCGGCCAGCUGAAGGAGGCCGCGGAGCUUGUGCGGAAUCCCGGCAGAAUCAACCUGGAGCAGGAGGAGCUGUGCGGCGUGCGACUGUACCCGGUGGAAAGGCUCACGGCGGACCCCUCCGUCAACGGGCAGGACAGCGACGAUGACGACGACGGCGGCAACGCGCCAAAGCGACUGAACCGUUCUCCGAGCAGACUUCCCACAAUGUCCGCUGCGCCCUUUGGACUCAAACCUCGCUCGGUGUUCCUACGCAGCCAUAAGAGUGUGGAGUGUGUGGACCCGCAGUUCACCAUGAGGAGGAAGAUGGAGCAGCUGAGGGAAGAACUGGAGCUGAUGGAACAGCUCCGAGACAGUAUCGAGAGCCGGCUGAAGGUGGUGCUUCCCGAUGACCUGGGCUCGUCGCUGAUGGACGGCGUGGUGCUUUGCCACCUGGCCAAUCACGUUCGCCCGCGCUCUGUGGCCAGCAUCCACGUGCCCUCGCCCGCCGUGCCCAAACUCAGCAUGGCAAAGUGUCGCCGCAACGUGGAGAACUUCCUGGACGCCUGUCGGAAGACGGGGGUGCCCGAGGUGCCGCGCUCGCCCGUUGCGGAGCGUAGCUGCCCGCUGACGUCAUGCCCGGCCGGAGGCGGAGCUGUCAGAGCAGUGGGCCAUGUGGCAAAGCUCAAGUUCCAAUCCAAAAAGACAAGCUGUGCCUGCCACAGCACAUCCUGGAGGAGAAAGGCCUUCUCAAGGUCUGCGCCAUGGUGCAGGCCUUGCUGGAGCAGAAGGGGGCCGCACCGGGAGCGGAAGCGCGUGCCUGACCAUGACGCCCGCCACCAAGCGGAACCUUGGUGGCCCGCCGCUAAAGGCAAACUUUGGGGGACAAGGCUUGUUUUUCCAGGACUGAACUUGAACUGGAUAACGCCACAUUGGUGUGCAUUGAAGAUGACGACCUAUUUUUGCCAAGUCUAUUUUUAUCAUCAUCAUUGUGUGGAUUUUUGCAAGGACGUUUGUAGCACCUCUGCAAACUCCCUUUUUUUCUUGGCCCAGAAGAGCAAAAUACGGCACGGCGGCAAGCUUGGAGUGAAACGUGCGAAACGAGUGGCGCUAGUGAGCCCGUUGACACUGUCGCUUGGGACAGCAUUAACACGACAAGAGCAACAAAGGCAACUACACCAGUGCCACUCUGAUGAAGGUGCAAGUACAAGCCCAAACAUGGCAGGUAAUUAAACCCAAAUAUCUUGUUUGUGAUGAAAGAACCAGUUCAAUAAUUGACACGUGAAAACAAAAUGAACAACUAGCAACAAAGGCAGUUGAGGAAGGACUUUUAUUGCUAAUGUAGCGAAAGCGGACGGGUGUUGGCAUGUUCAGGCAUUGAGGAACUUGGCGUGAUGCUUGAUAUGGUCGCCGAUGAACGAGUAGAUGAAGAAGUAGCUGUGGUCGUAACCCUGCGGACAGGACAGGACAGGACAGGGAAAGGAAAAAAAAAGUUAGAAGCCUUUUAACAUUCAAAGGGGCACUGUCAGCAUUGUGCAACAAUUUGGCUACGACUGACAGGCUGCAGGCGGAACACCACGGGGAUCUUCUUGUCAGAGCAGACGGCGAUCAAGUUGUCGGGCAGCAGCUGGCCGGCCGACAGGAACUGGUCGUCGCGGCCCUGGUCCAGCAGGAUGUCGAGCGGCGGGCCCGAGUAGCCCGCAGCCAGAACCGUGGCGUCGUAGGCCUUGGGAGAGAGAGAGGGAGAGAUGUUGGCGUGACGCUCUUUGGCUUCAACGCUUGGGCGGCAAACGUACCUCCCAGGCGUCGCGCUGGGGGCCCAGGUAAGCGGCGAAGGCUUUCUGCCCCCACGGGCACUGCGUGGGGUUGCAGAUGGGAGCGAAGGCUGACACCGCCUGGGCAAACACCAAAAAGCCCAUUGGGCAUCCGAGCGGAUGGCCGUCCGGCCCUCCUCAAGCAAGCUGUACCUUGUACUUUCCAGGGUUCUUGAGGGCACAAAUGAGCGCCCCGUGGCCACCCAUGGAGUGGCCGCUGAUGGACAUCCUGUCGGGGUCGGCCGGGAACUUGUCGUUGAUCACUUUGGGGAGCUGCGGGCGCCGUCAAAAAGGGAGAAAAGCCACGGCGCUUGUUGUUUCAAGGACGGCGCAAAAGCCUGCCACCGUACCUCCCGGGUCACGUAGGAGUACAUGCGGUAGUUGCUCUUCCACGGCUCUUGGGUGGCGUCCACGUAGAAACCGGCGCCGCUUCCCAAAUCCCAGCUGUCGUCCUCGCCCUCCACGCCGCAGCCGCCUGGAACCCACGUGCGGCUAAACUUGAGCAAAGAACACGGCCGGCAUCUCAACACAGCACAGCACGUACGCGGGCUGGUGUCCGGCGCCACCACGAUGAUGCCGUUCUCGGCCGCGGCCAGCUGACUUCCCGCUUUGGUGAUGAAGUUCUGCUCGGUGCACGUCAGGCCUGGAAGACAGCGCUGGGCGUAAGGAGGCUCAAAAAGCAAACAAAUGUCUCUGAUGAGAUGUACACCUGCCUGGCCCGGUUCUAAUUCAAACGAGGCGACCUCCGGUUCUCACCUGAGAGCCAGUACAGGACGGGACACUUCUGCGUCUCCGCCUUGGGCGGCAGGAAGAUGGCAAACUUCAUUUUGCACUUGAGCUCCACGCUGCAGCGACAACCACGAGAAGAAGGUGAGCCAAAAGCCAAAGCGAGAUGACGACCUGCAGUUGCGUCGGCGACAAACGCCGGCCGCGCCCUCACCUGUCAUGUUCAAAGACCUUCUGGAAACCUCCUGCGCACUUGUUGGAGGACACCUGAGUGAGCGCCAUCUGAUGGUGGGACCGAGCAUUGCGUUAAGGUGCCACAAGAAACAAACUGACAUUUAGCAGACAAAGUUCAUAUGACUCCAACCAGUAGGUGUCGGUAGCGCCCAAUGGAGCUGGUGCCACCUCGCCGUAAAACAAAACGAAGAAGAAAAUGACGUCACUUCCUGUUCACGAACGAGUCGCGCAUUGCAUUUCCCGUUCACCAACUGAACGGAAUUGUGAGUGAAAGAGUCACUGAGUGAGUGAUUUGCAUUUCCAGAUCAUCGCGAGACCGGAUCAGUGAGGGAACGAAUCGUGACUUUCCCGUUCACGAACGAGGCAAUGCAGUUGACCGCCUGGCUUCCAUCCCGUGCGUGCAUCAACGCAUCAGUCAGUGAACGUGUUGCGUCGUCUCCCUCCUGGCGUGGACUAUGGAAGGCAGAAUGUCGAUUUGCCAAGGAAAGCAUGAAGCACUCACUGAAACACCACUUCUCUCAUGCACCUUUUCUCCAGCUAACUUUAUUGCAGUGCUUCUCAAUUAUUUUCUGUUACGCCCCCCCCCCUAGCAAGAAGAAAACUAUUCGCGCCCCCCCUCCCCACCGUGACUAUCCUAACUUGUCUUGUAAGUCGUAAAAUGUUGCACUGUCGCAAACGUGACAGAAGUAACAAUGAGAGCGCCACUGCCCCCUGCUGUAGUAAACGCGCAAUUACACUUUAUUCUAGUACUGCCAAAAAAAAAGCCUGUUCCCCAGGGUCACACGCGCCCCCCAAGGGGGGCGCGCCCCACUAUUUGAGAAGCACUGGCCUAGGUGACUGAUUCACAAUUUGGUUUUGUCUGAUAUCAGAGAUUAAAUAAAGAAAACCAACUGGC